UACGUAGGGUGCAGGCGUUAAUCGGAAUUACUGGGCGUAAAGCGUGCGCAGGCGGUUUCUUAAGUCAGAUGUGAAAGCCCCGGGCUUAACCUGGGAACUGCGUUUGAAACUGGGAGACUUGAGUGUGGCAGAGGGGGGUGGAAUUCCCAGUGUAGAGGUGAAAUUCGUAGAUAUUGGGAGGAACACCAGUGGCGAAGGCGGCUAUCUGGACGAACACUGACGCUGAGACACGAAAGCGUGGGGAGCAAACAGG
rnacentral:rRNA from 1 species